UUUUUUUAACGUUCUUUAUUUUACCUUUGAGAGAGACAGAGACAGAGUGCGAGCUGGGGAGGGGCAGAGAGAGAGGGAGACACAGAAUCUAAAGCAGGCUCCAGGCUCUGAGCUGUCCCCUACGCGGGGCUCGAACCCACAAACCGUGAGAUCAUGACCUGAGCUGAAGUUGGCUGCUUAACCGACUGAGCCACCCAGGUGCCCCUACAGCUAUUUUUUAAUGUGUCAGCAUAUGAAUGGCAUUUGUAAAAUUUAUAAAUGUGAGCCUCUGUUGUUCUGAUGAGUCUACAGUGUGGUCAUAGUAAACAUAAUUUAUCUAACAUAUAAAUAUGAAUUAUGGGCUGGAUGAUGAAAAUGCUUACCAUUUCCGCCCCUGAAAAUUAAUAUCCUGUGAUGUAUAGAAUGAAAGUAAGGAAAGGACUGUUAAGGCUCACAAAAAGGGACUUUUUGUGUGUGUGUGUGUAUAUAUAUGUGUGUGUGUGUAUAUAUACAUACGCACACAUACAAUGGUGCCCACGGUGGUCCUGGGCUUUCUCAUUUUCCAUCUAUCCAUUUUUUAUUGUGUGAUACAUCAGGAAUCUAGGGCAAGAAACCCACUUUGAACCAGAAACAUUAUCAGAAAUGGUGCCUCUGCAUAUAGGUGUUCAAACUAUCUGUGAGCAGUAAUUAUUAUUGUUAGGUAAUAAUAUUUUAAAAUUGUCAAUAACUGCACUGAGGGAAGCUUGAGUGCAUCCAUUCCAUAACUCUGUGUUCACGGCUCUCAGUGCUAGUGUACUAGGCUUUUGAGUGGUCCUGGCUUAUAAAACUACAUGUUAGGCUGUUUCUGAAGGAUUCAUUAUUGCCCACAUUGAAUAUACCCAGUUAGGGGCUGAUCUUGCUUCAGACGAUGGGCUCUGUGUGUCUUUUACAUCUUUUUUUUUUUAAUUUUUUAAAAAAAUGUUUACUUAUUUUUGAGAGAGAGAUAGAGGCAGGAUGUGAGCAGGGGAGGGGCAGAGAGAGAGGGAGACACAGAAUCUGAAGCAGGCUCCAGGCUCUGAGCUGUCAGCACAGGGCCUGACGCGGGGCUCGAUCUCACAGACCAUGAGAUCAUCACUCGAGCCAAAGUCAGAUGCUUAAAACUGACCAGGCCACCCACGUGCCCUGUGUCUUUUACUUCUUGAUUAAAUUUGAUUCCUUCCCAACUGGAUCACAACUUUGCAUAUUGGCCAUAGAAAAUUGCUGAAUGUUUGGACAACCUCUAGAAUAAAACAAAAUACUGUAGUUUAAAAAAUACUAUUUGAAAAAAUACUAUUUGUUGAGAUGAUUUUUUUACUUGUCAAAGAAACAGAUAUUCGUUCUUCCAUAGUACUUUUCCACAGUCCUGUGUUUGGAAGAUCCAGAAAAGUAGGAAGAAGAACGACCACAAAAUCUGGUAAUCCUACUUGAAAGAAACCAUGGAUCUUGUUUAGGCCUUUUUUUUUUUCUUUUCAAGUUUUUAUUUAAAUUCUAGUUAACAUAUAUGGAAAAAUUGGCUUCAGGUAUAGAAUUUAGUGAUUCAUCACUUAUAUAUAACACCCAGUGCUCAUCAUAGUAAGUGCUCUUCUUAAUCCCCAUCACCUAUGUUGCUCAUUCCCUGACAACCUCCCCUCCAGCAACCCUCAGUUUGUUCUCUGUAGUUAAGAGUCUCUUAUGGUUUGCUUCCCUCUCUUUUUUUUUUUUUCUCCUAUAUGUUCAUCUGUUUUGUUUCUUAAAUUCCACAUGAGUGAAAUCCUACGGUAUUUGUCUUUCACUGACUGACUUAUUCCACUUAGCAUAAUACACUCUAGCCCUAUCUACUUUGUUGCAAAUGGCAAGAUUUCAUUCGAUGGCUAAUACUCCAUUGUGUAUACAUACCACAUCUUUUUAAAAAAUGUUAAAGUUAAAAAAAAUUUUUUUUAGUGUUAAUUUUUGAGAGAUAGAGACAUCGAAUACAAAGCAGACUCCAGGCACUGAGCUGUCAGCACAGAGCCCAACGUGGGGCUCAAACUCAUGAACUGCAAGGUGUUGACCUGAGCCGAAGUCAGACGCUUAACUGACUGAGCCACCCAGGCGCCCUUUUUAAAUUGUUUUGUUUUUUUUUUUAAUGUUUAUUCAUUUUUGAGAGACAGAGAACGCAAGUGGGGAAGUGACACAGAGAGAGGGAAACACAGAAUUUGGGGGCUCCGGGCUCUGAGCUGACAGCACAGAGCCCAACGCUGGGCUUGAACUCACGAACCACAAGAUCAUGACCUGAGCCAAAGUCAGACAUUUAACCGACUGAACCACCUACGUGCCCCUUUAUGCGUUCAUCAGUCUAUGGACUGUUGGGCUUUCUGUAUUUUUAUAGUUGAUAAUCCUGCUAUAAACAUUGAGGUGCAUGUGCCCCUUUGAAUCAGUAUUUUUGUAUCCUUUGGGUAAAUACUUAGUAGUGCAAUUGCUGGGUCAUAGGGUAGUUCUAUUUUUAACAUUUUGAGGAACCUCCAAACUUUUCCAGAGUGGCUGCACCAGUUUGCAUUCCCACCAAUGGUGUAAAAGGGUAAUAUCCUCCGCAUCCUCACCAACAUCUAUUGUUUCCUGUGUUGUUAAUUUUUGCCAUUCUGACAAGUGUGAGGUGGUAUCUCCUUGUGGCUUUGAUUUGUAUUUCCCUGAUGAUGAGUGAUGUUGAGCGUCUUUUCAUGUGUUUUUUAGCCAUCAGAAUGUCUUCUUUGGAAAAGUGUCUGUUAUGUUUUCUACCCAUUUCUUCACUGUUUUGUUUUUUGGGUGUUGGUUUUAUAGGUUCUUUAUAGAUUUUGGAUAUUAACCCUUAUCAGAUACAUCAUUUGCAAAUAUCUUCUCCCAUUCUAUGGGCUGCCUUAAUGUUUUGUUGCUUGUUUCCUUCGUUGUGCAGAAGCCUUUUAUUUUGAUGCAGUCCCAAUAGUUCAUUUUUGCUUUUGUUUCUCUUUGCCUUUGUUUCUCUUGCCUUUGGAGAUGAAAAAAAAAAAAAAAAUCUCUUCUUUUUUUGUUACUGGAAUCCUCUUUUUCUUAAUACCCCAGAGUAGAAAACUGUGGUUCAUCUUUGGUUUGUUACAUUUAGUAAAUCCUAGUAGCUCUGUUUCUGCUCUGGCUGUUAAUUUGUUCAGCCCCUCAACUCCUGAUUGACUCCUUUUCAGUCUUUGUCUUAGGCAUUAAAAGUCUUCUCUAUAUAGUCAUUCUGUUCUAUUAUCUUUCCUCUUUUAAUCUUCACAUUAUUUGGUUUAUUUCUUUAAAAACCAAGUGUGAUCAUGCCAGUAGACUUAAAAAUAUACCGUGUCUCUAAAUGCUUUAAAGAGAAAGUAUGGACAACAUAUUAUAGCAUAUAUAAUGUGCUAGAAGCAUAGGAAACAUAGUGGCUUCAUUUAUAGUGGCUUCUGACUAGGUACUUUGUAUGCGACUUAUACAAGUUGAUUAUCCCCUACAUGCAACCCAUAUUUCCAAACACCAGUGUCAUCUUUUGUGCUGUUUCUUCUGCCUUGAAAUCUUUUUUCUUUUUACUUUCCCCCAGAAAUGCUUCUUUCAGAACAACUUGGAUGUCAUCUUCCUUGGGAAGCAUUCUUAAACUGUUCCAGAUACAAUUCCUUAUGCAGGUGUUCCAGGAGGAACUAAUUAUACUGCUUUAUAACCCUUGCCAUGUCCUCUUAUACUUAGUUGUAUAUAUCAUGUACAUUUCUGCUCUCUCAGGCAGUUAAGGGAGGUAUAGAUACCCUGUAUUUUGGAAUCACAAGAUGCUUUUGACUUUUAGAAACUAAUUCUGGGGAAGUAAAUUUUGUUUCUCACCUAUGACUUUCUCUAUUGCUUGAGAUAUUUUAUAAUGUUGCCUUUACAGUUUAUCUGCCAUAUGCCUAUAGUAUUCUCAUUGUUUUCCUAUAUACAUCCAUGCUUUAUGCCAAAGAUAUCCAAAAGAUUUGCAAGACGUUUUUAGGGCAGGGGUGCCUGGGUGGCUCAGUGGGUUAAGAGUCUGACUUCGGCUCAGGUCAUGAUCUCAUGGUUUGUAAGUUUGAGCCCUGCAUCGGGCUCUCUGCUGUCAGUGAGGAGCCCCCUUAAGAUCCUCUGUCUCCCUCUCUUUCUGCCCCUCCCCCCACUCACAUUCUCUUUCUCUCAGAAAUAAAUAAACAUUAAAAAAGAAAUUUUGGGGGGCAGUGUUUUGAAAUAAAAAAAAAAAGUCCAGGACACAACCUCCAAAUUGCUUUGAUUUUCUUCAUGCUACUAAUUGUCAGUUUCUGAAAGAAGCCCUAUUUUUGUUAAAAUUACUUAGUACAUCUUUUCAGUGUUAAAAGUUUUCAGUACUUCACAUUAGCAGUCAGGAAUCUGUCCAAAGAAUUCUGAAUAUAUUUAUUUCCAUAGAAGUUUAUUCCAUAGAAGUCUGUUUAUUUCCAUAGAACUCUGCAAGAUAAUACAACUUAAAUGUUAGUAAGAAGGACAAAAAGAAAUUGAUAUUAAUAAAUAGGUAUCAUAACUUUGGAAGGUACUAGAUCACCUGUUCAUUAUUUUGACAAUUUAUAAAUAGAAAGAGUCAAUAAUUCAUACAGUCUUUCCUGUGUAAACUGUAUUGCAGGGCAACCAAAUAGUUAAUUAGGGAAAGUCCUUUUUAGAAGAAUUUCAGGUAAUAAAUGCAGAUGGAAUGAUAGAAUUAGCAAAUCCCAUUCAGGCAACCCCUAAGUAAAUAAUGGAGAAUGACCACUGAGUAAAAUAAGACUGGCAACAUUUGAAUACAAUAUCCAAUAUGAAUAUCACUUUAAGUAGGACAACCAGACAUCUUAUGAGUCUUAAUAUAAUGGAUUGGGAACAUAGAUGUAUCACCCAUGGAGUAUUCUUGGCAAAAGACAUGAAUCAUGUCCCUAGAUCUUACUAAGUUUACAGGAAAUAUGGGGAAUGGAGGAAUAAGUCAACACCAGGAGGAAACAGCUAAAUUAGGAUGUGAUAAAUUCUACAGGACAAAUGACUUGUUGUUACAGAUUAAAUGAGAUUUAAAGAGACGUAUUAAUCAGAUACAGUGUGUAGUUCUUGCUUUUGUUCUUGGUUUAGAAAAGCCAACAGUAGAAAUUUCAUUUUUGAGAUGAUUGAAAUGUGGACAUAAAGUACAUAUUAAAUGAUUUUGAGGCAUUAUUGCUAAUUUUGUCAGAUGUGAUAAUGGCAUUGUAGUGUCAAAGUAAAAUCUUUAGAGUGGCUCAGUUGGUUGAGCAUCUGACUCUUGAUUUCAGCUCAGGUCAUGAUACCAGCAUUGUGGGAUUGAGCCCUGUGUCGGGCUCUGAGCUGAGCGUGGAACCUGCUUGGGAUUCUUUCUUUCUCUCUGCCUGUCUCUAAAAAACAAACAAACAAACAAAAAGGUCUUUAAAUGAUAGUGAUACAUUCUUUACUACAUAUGCGUGAAAUGAUAUGAUGUCUGGGAUUUGCUGUAAAAAUACUCCAUUCCCUGCUCCCCAAAAGAGAGAAAAGUUGUAGGAUGGGAGAACUGAGAUAAUGAGACAUUUAUGAGUUGCAUGGGCAUUUGUUCUACAGUUAUCUCCUUAUGUGAAUGUUUGAAAAUUUUUAGACCAAAAGUUGAAAAAAUCAAAAAUGUGUAGCAUGGUUUCUAGCAGUCUACAUAGGAAGAAAACUGGGUCAGUAACGUAGUGUCUAUAUGAUGAAAACAAACACCUGCUGGGAAAAAGCAUGACUCUUCCUAUUAAGACCAAAAAAAAGUUUUCCUUGAUAGUGUUCUUGAGGACACGAUGUAAUAUAUUGUUAAAAGCAUUUUAAAUUAUAUUCCUCCUAUAAACUGAGUUUUUGUCGUUGUUGUUGUUUUUUGGUAGCAUUCCAAAAUGGCUAAAUGGCUAGUGGAAUACAAUCCAUGGUUAAUUCCAGUGAAACCAGCUUUAUGGCAAACCAUUCUGAUACAUUCUAGAAACCUUACUUCAAGCUGUGUAGGGUUCCCCAAGGAGAAUUCAUAAGAGGUCUUAUUCCUGUCUUUUCAAAGCUUAGAGAAACACGGGCACCUGGCUGGCUCAGUUGGUAGAGUGUGUGGCCCUUGAUCUCCUGGUCAUGAGUUUGAGCCCCAUGUUAGGGGUAGAGCUUACUUUUAAAAAUUAAAAAUAGGGGUGCCUGGGUGGCUCAGUUGGUUAAGGGUUUGACUUUGGCUCAGGUCAUGAUCUCACAGUUUGUGAGUUCAAGCCCCACAUAGGGUUUUGUGUUGACAGCUCAGAGCCUGGAGCCUGCUUCAGAUUCUGUGUCUCCCUCUCUCUCUACCCCUCCCCCUCUCGCACUCUAUUGCUCUCUCUUUCUCUCAAAUAUAAACAAACAUAAAUAAAAAAUAAAAACUACAAAAAUAAAAUAAGAGCUUAGAGAAACAUAAAAACUUCCUAUCCCAUCAUCUCUCCUUUGUUCCAUUUCUGUCAUGACUUUUUUAUGUAACCCACCGUUGCAAAAUUAGUUAAUAUAAUAGAUAAAAAGGAAUUUUCCUUAUGCCUGUUUCUUUCUUUCUUUUUUUAAUGUUUAUUUUUGAGAGAGAGACAUACACAGAGUGCGAGCAGGGGAGGGCAGGAAGGGGCAGAGAGAGAGAGAGAGGGAGACACUGAAUCUGAAGCAGGCUCCAGGGUCUGAGCUGUCAGCGCAGAGCCUGAUGUGGGGCUCAAACUCACAACCUGAUCAUAACCUGAGCCGAAGCUGGACGCUUAAGUGACUGUGCCACCCAGGUGCCCCAUCCUUAUAGCUGUUUCUGUUGGCAAAGAAAAUCUUAAUGAAUUUUGUUUUCUCUGAUUUGUCUCAAAAACAAGUCUUUUAAAGUAAAAGUGUUAUAUUAAAAUAGGCAUUUAAAAUACCAUAGCCAUUUACUCCCUCAGAGAUUUUGAUAUUAAAUUCCCCUCCAGCCUCUCAGAGAAUCUGUGUUAAGAGUAACUAGAUGGACUGUAUAAAGUAUCCUGCAGACAAUUCUCCAUAAACAUUGUUUCACAUGGAGCUUUUCCUGAGUAUUGAGCAGCAGUGAAUUUGAGAUUAUAUUUCCUGGCAAGUGUCUGAAAUACAGAUCUUCUGUGUUAUUGACUAAAUAUGAACCAUUAUUCACUGAAGCUCUGUUAAAGUGCACAUUCUUCUCUGAAAAUAAGAAUGACUAACAAGAACAGUACAUUAACUCUAAUAUGACAUGAGCCAAAGGAGUACCCAGGUAAAGCCAAGAUUCUCCAAAGAAUAAUUUUAAUUACUGGAUUAGUUUUCUAAUGCUCUGUAACAGAUUGUGACAGUUAGCAGUUUCAAACAACACAGAUUUAUUAUCUCACAAUUUCCAUGGAUCAUGAGUCAGGGCACAGUUUAAGCUGAGUCCUCUGCUUAGGGCCUCACAGGCUACAAAUCAAAGUGUUGGCCAGGGCUGAAGUGUCAUCCAGGCUCUGGAUCUUCCAAGCUCACGUGGUUAUUGGCUGAAUUCAUUUCCUUUUAGUGGUACAACUCAGGGCAGCUUGCUUUUCCAAGGCCACAGGAAAGUCUCUUAUCUCUUGACUCUCUUUAAAGGACUCAGCUUUAUUAGGUAGGCAUGUCCAGGAAAAUCUCCUCUGAUUAAUGUAAUGCCAAUUAGGGACCUUAAUUGCAUUUGCAAAAUUUUUUCACCUUUGCCAUUUAAAAUAACAUAAUCAUGGGAGUGAUAGCCCAUUUCCUUUGCCCUGUUCCAUUGGUUAGAAACAAGUUAUAAGCCCCACCCACACUCAAAGAGAGAGGAUUAUACUUGGGCAUGGGGCCUUGGGGGUUGCAUUUCAGUAUCCUGCCUACCAAGAUUACACUAUUGCCUGUUAAAAAAUAUUUUAAGUAUCUUAUUUUGUUUGUUAUUACACAGAUGACAUUAUGAAACUUAAAGUAGAACAGAAAAAAGUCACCCCAUAAUCCUGCCAGCCAGUGUAUCAAAAUGUUUUCCUUUGGCUGUGUGCAUGCAUAAUUUUUACAAAGUAUUAUGGAGCAGAGAUACAGUUUUCCAUUGCUUUUCACUUAGCAAAGGCAUUUGUCUGAUUGCUCACAUAAUGUUUAUAUGUAUCAUAUUUAAGGGAUGGGAUUGCUUCAGGUGAACAUAUCUAGAUUAUUGAAAUUGCUGCGGGUGAAUGAAUCUGUAUUAGGCUAAUAAAGGUAUAAGUCAUAAACAGUAGAAAUCAUUAUUCUGUGAGCUUUGAUAAACACACAUAUUUGUGUAACUCCCAUCACAAUCAAGAUAAAGAAUAUUAUUGGGAUGCCUGGGUGGCUCCAUUGGUUAAGCAUCCAUCCGACUUCAGCUCAGGUCAUGAUCUCACCAUCUGUUGAGUUCAAGCCCCGCAUCAGACUCUGUGCUGACAGCUCAGAGCCUGGAGCCUGCCUCGGAUUCUGUGUCUCCCUCUCUCUCUGACCCUCCCCUGUUCAUGCUCUGUCUCUCUCUGUCUCAAAAAUAAAUAAACAUUAAAAAAAUUUUUUUUUAAAAAGAUAAAGAAUAUUAUCUUGUGCCCUUUGGUAGACAAGCCCUCCUCCCACAGUGCAGCCUUCAGUCAAUGUAUUCUUACUAUUUCUUCAGUGUCAUAUGAGUGGAAUCACACACCUUGUAUACCUUUGGGUUUGGUUGCUUUCACUUAAUAUAAUGUUGUGCAGUAAAGGCAUAGCAUUCCUGUGACACAAUAAGAAAUACAUAUUUGGUCUGUGUCCCUGGUUCCUGGUACAGAGCUCCUAAAAUCCUUGCAAUUUCCUGAAAGGAACAUCUUUUAUACCUUUAUACCACGUGAGUUUUACUACCUUUUUAAACCUUUAUACCACGUGAGCUUAUGCUAAUAAAGUUACUUUUGAUAGGCCCCUAGACAGCUUCAGGAUGGUAGUUGGCUGUCACAUGGUUACUAACCCUGUGAUUAGAGGGUUGGCACUUGCAGCCCCACGCCUGAACCUUCAUGGAGGGGAGAAUGGUUGGAAAUUGAGUUCAGUCACCAGCAGCCAAUGAUUUAAUCAGCUGUGCCCACAUAAAACCCUUGAAACAAUGGGGUUUGGAGAGCUUCAGAGUUGCUGAACAUAUCCACUUGCUGGUAGGGUGGCAUAGUCCGACUCUGUGAGAGAGAAGCUCCUGUUCCUAGGACCCAUUUGGACCUUCCCUGUGUACCUUCUCAUCUAGGUGUUCAUUUGUCUUCUUUAAUAAACUGGUAAUAGUGAAUAAAGUGGUCUUUGGAAUAUGAUGAGCUGUUCUAGCAAAUAACUGAAAUUGAAAGAGAGAUAUGGUUUUGGGAACCCACCACCUUGUAGCCAGGUCAAACAGAAGUAUGUGGACCUGGAGAUCCAAUACUUAGGACUGACAUCUGAAGUGAGGGCAGUCUUGUGGGAUGGAGCCCAAAAGCCCAAGGAGUCUGAUGCUGACUGAGUAGUUAUUAUUAGAAUUAAAAUGAAUUGUAAGAUAUCUGGUGGCAUCUGUAGAGUUAGAGAAUUUCUUGGUGUGAGGGAGAAAACUGACACAUUUUAUGUCACAGAAGUGUUGUUUUGAGUAAAAAUACCUUAGUUACUCAAAGAAUAGGCAACCGUGAGCUGCCUAAGGUUUGGCCCUUGCCAUCUCCUGGAAGGUAACCUCUAAGCCCUUGGGAUAUCUUGCCUGAGAAGAGUGUCUUUGUUUACUUGAGGGCCUUUGGCCACCCCACGUUGCCUGUGCCGACAAUGUGGCUGACAGUGUGGUAGGAGGCUUUGUGUAGUGUGGUAUCAGCUUGACCUCUGGAGGAGUUGCAGGCUAAGGUCACCUAUGCAGAUGGUCAGACCUGCCUGUGCGUCAGACCCCUGACAAAAAUGCUUGACACCAGGCCUCGGGGGGGUUUCCCUGGUUGCCAGUACUCCAUGUGUGCUGUCACAUUUCUUGCUGGGAGAAAUAAGUGCUGUCUCUACAACUCUACUGGGAGAGGACAAGUGAAAGUUUGGUGUCUCCUGGACCCAGCCCUAUACCCCUCUUCCCUUUACUGAUUUUAAUCUUUUUUUUUUUUUUUUUUGCUAUAAUAAACUGACCAUGAAUAAAAUGGCCCUUUUGAAUUUCAUGAGUCCUUCUAGUGAAUCAUUAAACUUGAGGGUGGCUUUGGGUUUAAUGAUGCUGAACUGCAGAGGUUCAUCCAUAUUACUGCAAGCAUCAAUACUUAGUUGUUUUUUUUUGUUGAUUAGCAUUCGAAGUUUGUUCAUUCUCCAUUUGCGCUGGUUGUUUCCAUCUAUUGGCAAUUAUAAAUAAAACUGCUAUAAACAUUUGGGUACAGGUUUUUAAAAAAAUGUUUGUAAUGUUUGUUUAUUUAUGAGAGAGAGAGAGAGCAUGAGCAGGGGAGGGGCAGGGACAGAGGGAGACAGAGAAUUUGAAGCAGGCUCCGAGCUGUCCACACAGAGCCUGACUCAGGGCUUGAACUCUUGAACUGUGAGAUCAUGACCUGAGCCAAAGUAGGAUGCUUAACUGAGCCACCCAGGAGCUCCCAAGUACAGAUUUUUGUGUGAACAUAGGUUUUUAUUUCACUUGGAUAAAUAACUAAUAGUCAGAUUGCUUGGUUAUAUGAAGGGUGUCUAACUUUAUUAGAAACGACUAAAUUGGCUUGCAAAGUGGUUGUACCAUUUGCACUCCUCCCAGCUACCACUGUGUGAGAAUUCCAGCUUCUCUUCAUACUCCUCAAUAGUUGGUAUUGCCAGUUUUAUUUUUCUUUUAAUUGUAGCCAUCAUGAUGGAUGUAAUAGUAUCUCACACAAAUAGUUGUACUUUGCAUUUCCCAUAAUGUUAAGUGUCUUUACAUGUGUUUAUUAUGCCAUUCACAUAGCUUGUUUAAUGAAGUGUCUGUCUAAAUCUUUUGCCUGUUAAAAUUUUUUUUAAGGUUUAUUCAUUUUUCAGAGACAGAGAGAGAAAAAGUGUGACUGGGGGAGGGGCAGAGAGAGAGGGAGACACAGAAUCCAAAGUAGGCUCUAGGCUCCGAGCCGUCAGCACAGAGCCCAACGCCGGGCUCGAGCUCACAGACCUUGAGAUCAUGACCUGAGCUGAAGUCGGACACUUAACUGACUGAGCCAUCCAGGUGCCCCUAAAAUUUUUUUUUUAUUACAGAGUUUUGAGAGCUCUCUAAAUAUUCUGGAUACCAAUCUUUUAUCAAAUAAGUAUUUUGCAAAUAUUUUCUCCCAAUCUAUAACCUUUGGAGAGGAGUUUUUAAUUUUAAUAAUGUUUAAUUUUUAAUUUUAUAAAUUUUGUGGAUGUUUAAAAAUCUUAAAAAAUUUUUUUUUAUGUUUUCAUCUAAAACUUUUUUAGUUUUAUAUUUUACAUUUAGGCCUUUCAUUUUGAGUUAAUUCAGUAAAUGCAAUUUGAGUUAAUAAUGGUGUGAGAUAUGGGUCAGGGUUCAUUUUGGGGGACAUAUGGAUGUCUGAUUGUCCUGAAACCACUUGCUGAAGAGGCUCUUCUUUCUCCACUGAAUUGCAUUUUUACUUUUGUUAAAAAUCAAUUACCCAUAUAUGUAUGAGUCUAUUUCUGGACUCUAUUUUGUUCUAUUUAUCUAUUUUUUGCUGAUGUCAUGCUGAGUUGAUUAAUGUAUUUUUAUAAGUAUAGUCCUCAGAUAAGAUAGUAUGAGUCUUCUGAUUUUUUUCAAAAUUGUUUUUGGCUGUUCCAGUCCCUUUGACUCACUUUGCUGAUUUUAUAAAAAAAAAAUUUUUUUUUUUACAUUUAUUUGAGAGACCGAGCACCAGUGGGAGAGGGGCAGAGAGAAUGAGACACAGAAUCUGAAGCAGGCUCCAAGCUGUCAGCACACAGCCCGAUGCGGGGCUCAAACUCACAAACUGUGAGAUCAUGACCUGAGACAAAAUCGGACACUUAACCGACUGAGCCACCCAGGUACCCUUUACUUUGCUGAUUUUAGAAUCAACUCAUUGAUGUCAAUAUAAAAAGCUUUUGCUUUUCUUUUGAUUGACAUUGCUUUGAAUUUUUUAAAAAAUGUUUUUAUUUAUUCUUGAGGGAGAGAGAGACAGAACGUGUGACUGGGAGAGGGACAGAGAAAGAAGGAGACACAGAAUCUGAAGCAGGCUCCAGGUUCUGAGCUGUCAGCACAGAGCCUGAUGUAGGGCUCAAACUCAUGAGCCGUGAGAUCAUGACCUGAGCUGAAGUCAUAACUCUUAACUGACUGACCCACCCAGGCACCCCUGAUUGAAAUUACUUUGCAUUUGUAGAUCAAUUUGGGGAGAACAAGUCUCCAAUAAAUGCUCAUGAUAUAUUGCUCUGCUUAUUUAGGUCUUUUUCAUCUGUACUUUGUAGUUUUUCAGCAUAAAUAUCUUGCAUAAAUUUUAUUACAUUUAUACAUAUUUUUAUGUUUUUUGGCUCUUUUGUAAAUGGUAUUGUUUUUUAAGUUUGGAUUUUCAACUUCUGUUCCUAGUAUAUCGAGAUAUAAUUGUUGCUUGCUUAAUGAUCUUAUAGUUUGCAACCUUGCUAAACUCACUUAUUAGUUCCAGGAGCUUUUUUUUAAAGAUUCUUUGUCAUUUUCUACAUCCAGUCGUGCCAUUUGCAAUCCGUAUGCCUUUUAUUUCUUUUAUUUCUUGUCUUACUGCACUUUCUAAAUCUUGAGUGUGUUAUUGAAUAGGAGUGGUGACAGCUGAUGUCCUGAAUCUUUGGGGGAAUACAUUUCGUGUUUUAUUAUUUGAUAGGAUGUUAGCAGUAAGUUUUUAGUAAAUGCACGUUAUCAGGUUGUAUAAGUGCCCUUCUAUUCCUAAUGUGCUGAGAACUUUGCCAUGAAUAAAGGUUGGAUUUUCGUAAAUGCUUAUUUUUUUUGCAUUUGUUGAUGCCAUCAUAUUUUUCUUCUUUAGUUUGCUGACCUGGUGAAUUACACUGAUUUCAUCUUUCAGUGUUGAAUCAACUUGUAUUCCUGGGAUAAAUCCUUAUUGGUUUUGGUAUUUUAUCUUUCUCCUAAGUUACUGAAUUUGAAUUUGGUUUGCUAACAUUUUGUUGAGGAUUUUUGCAUCUGUGAGGGAUAAUGAUCUAUAGUUGCUUUUUCUUGUGAUUUCUUUGUCUCAUUUUGUUGUCAGGGUAAUGCUGGCCUCAUAAAAUGAGUUGGAAACUGUUCCCUUCUAUACUGUUUACAUUGAUUUUUUUCCCCCCACUCUUUUUCCUGGUUAGUUUCAGCUUUAUGAUCUGUGUUGACCUACCUUAAAGUUCAUUGAUUCUUUCCUCAACUGUCAAGUCUGUUGCUGAACCUGCCAAAGGCUUUUAAAAAUUUUGUUACUGCAUUUCUCAUAGUCUUUAUCAUUUCAAAUUGUCUCUUAUAGGUUUUUCUGUUCAACUCUUAUAGUUUCUAUCUCUGAUGUUUGCCACCUUGCUCAUACCUAUGGUUUACCUGUUCCAUUUGAUCCAUUAUUAUUAGUAGUAUUUACUUUAAUUAAUUGGCUGGCUGAAAGUUCCAGCAUUUCAGUUACGGCUUCUUCUGCUUCUUUUGACUGUUUUGUCACCUGACAAUGAUUUGUUUGCUCUUGAGAUUUUGUGUAGCUUAUAAUUUGGACAGGGAGGGGAUGUUACCAAAUUACUUUACUUGAAGGAAUGAUGCAACUGAAAGAACUUCAGAUGUUUUCAUACAACUCAUAGAAAAGGUAAUGGUAACCUCAACAUGCGUGCACUGCCUUCAAGACCACGGAAAUCACCCCUAGGGCCAAGCUUAUACUUUUUGUUUGAAUGCGAGCCGUCAUUUGCAGGAUAGUAGAGACUGAAGUAUAUAGUAUUUAUGUUAAGAAAUGGGUAUGACUCUUGUUAUAUUGAGUUGUUCCUGUGCAGGGUUGAAUUAGUCUUACUUGAUUAGGGUUUUGUUUGUUUGUUUGUUUUUUCCUGCUCUGGUUACAUUCAGUGCAUCAUCAAUUUUAAAUACUUAAUGGCAUCACUUUGUGCUUAAGGGUGGGGGAUGAUUUGUUGAAAAGUUUUUACCUUUAGUCUUAGGCAGGCUUUGUUUCCCUAAUAAUUUCCCUUUUCCUAAUAGUCCCACUUUUUCCCCACUACCAGUAGACCUCUAUUGUUUGGGGCCAGGAUAUUUCCUGUCCCUCCAUCAGAGGUGGAUAUUAUCAUCUAAUUUUGAAAGAAUAAUAAAAAUUUGAAUUAUAAAACUACUAGAAGAAAAUACAGAAGAAUACCUACAUAUUUUCUUUUUUUUAAUAAUUCUUUUUUUUUAAUGUUUUAUUUAUUUUUAAGAGAGAGAGAGAGAGAAUGAGCAGGGGAGAGACAGGGAGACACAGAAUCUGAAUCAGGCUACAGGCUCUGAGCUGUCAGCACAGAGCCCAAUGCAGGGCUUAAACAGAUGAACAGUGAGAUCCUGACCUGAGCAGAAGUCGGAC